CUCAAACCCUAUCCUCUCUCUCCCGGAACUCCAUUGAAGACACUCUCCUUCAGCCGAUCUAUUGGAAGUCGCGAGCAUCAUCUUUAGCAGUAGAGUCCAUAGCAGAAUGAAGACAUUGAAGCUCGAUCCUACCAGGAGACGUUGAAGAUCAAUCCGAGCAGGAGGCAUGGAAGCCCGACCAUUUUAGCAGGAGACAUUGAGGUUCUGUCGAAGGAGAUGAUACAUUGAUUGAGGCUGAGCAUCGGAGGAUUAGCUGCAACCGUAACAGCCACCACCACACCUCCAUCGAAGGAGCAGCGAGCAAGUAAGGUAAAAUAUGUCAACAAAUAUUGUUCGUGACUCCAACAACUCCCAAGUCCCUCUAAAGUAUAGGAACUUAAGGUGUGGAUGUCAGAGACGGGAAUCAGUGUGAACCCGAGGAUGCACCAAAUGAAUGUAAUGUGACCAAACGAACUACUCCAACAACUAUAGAUGCUGGUAAUGUUCAAAUGGAGCGACUGAUGGAAGAGUUCAAAAAACUUGCUGAAGAGAUCCAUAAUUUGAAGGAUACCCUCAAUAUGAUGGGUCAUAUUGUAAUAACCUUAUUAGUGUUGAUUUUCAUCUAUUUUAGUGGAUAAGUUAAGGAGGAAAAAUUGUAUCGAGAUAGACCAUGUGAUCUUUAUUAAUGAAAGGAAAAUUUGGGUAGAUCAUGUGAUCCCUAUCAAUGUAA